AGAAAAAGUACAGGGAGUCCAAUGAAAAAGGUUCCUGUUGUUCCUAAAAGCUGUUUUGCAGCUGUUAUUACUGAAAACAUUAAACUUGUGUACCUGAAGAGGAGCUUAGUUCAGGAUCUUCUGAAGACCCCUGAAAGUUUCGAAGAUAAAAUUGUGGGUAGCUUUGUGAGGGUAAAAUCUGACCCAAAUGACUACUUUCAG
rnacentral:misc_RNA from 1 species